CGGAGGGUGCAAGCGUUAUCCGGAUUCACUGGGUUUAAAGGGUGCGUAGGUGGGCAAGUAAGUCAGUGGUGAAAUCUUUGGGCUUAACCCGAAAACUGCCAUUGAUACUAUUUGUCUUGAAUAUUGUGGAGGUCAGCGGAAUAUGUCAUGUAGCGGUGAAAUGCUUAGAUAUGACAUAGAACACCAAUUGCGAAGGCAGCUGGCUACACAUAUAUUGACACUGAUGCACGAAAGCGUGGGGAUCAAACAGGAUUAGAUACCCUGGUAGUCCACGCCCUAAACGAUGGAUACUCGACAUACGCGAUAUACUGUGUGUGUCUGAGCGAAAGCAUUAAGUAUCCCACCUGGGAAGUACGAUCGCAAGAUUG
rnacentral:rRNA from 1 species